rnacentral:rRNA from 1 species
AUUGAACGCUGGCGGCAGGCCUAACACAUGCAAGUCGAGCGGAGCGGCGGACGGGUGAGUAAUGCCUACGAAUCUGCCUGGUAUUGAGGGAUAACGUCCGGAAACGGGCGCUGAUAUCGCAUACUACUAGAUGAGCCUAGGACGGAUUAGCUAGGUGGUGAGGUAAAGGCCUACCAAGGCGACGAUCCGUAGCUGGGCUGAGAGGAUGAUCAGUCACACUGGAACUGAGACACGGUCCAGACUCCUACGGGAGGCAGCAGUAGGGAAUAUUGGACAAUGGGCGAAAGCCUGAUCCAGCCAUGCCGCGUGUGUGAUGAAGGUCUUCGGAUUGUAAAGCUCUUUAAGUUGGGAGGCGUUACCAACAGAAUAAGCCCCGGCUAACUUCGUGCCAGCAGCCGCGGUAAUAC